rnacentral:rRNA from 1 species
AUUGAACGCUGGCGGCAGGCCUAACACAUGCACGUCGAGCGGAGCGGCGGACGGGUGAGUAAUGCCUAGGAAUCUGCCUGGUAGUGGGGGGUAACGUCCGGAAACGGGCGCUAAUACCGCAUACUAUAAGAGGAGCCUAGGUCGGAUUCGCUAGUGGGUGGGGUAAAGGCCUACCAAGGCGACGAUCCGUAACUGGUCUGAGAGUAUGAUAAGUCACACUGGAAAUGAGAAACGGUCCAGACUCCUACGGGAGGCAGCAGUGGGGAAUAUUGGACAAUGGGCGAAAGCCUGAUCCAGCCAUGCCGCGUGUGUGAAGAAGGUCUUCGGAUUGUAAAGCACUGUAAGUUGGGAGGCGUGACCAACAGAAUACGCACCGGCUAACUUCGUGCCAGCAGCGGCGGUAAUUC